CGGCAGGCCUAACACAUGCAAGUCGAGCGGUAGAGAGGUGCUUGCACCUCUUGAGAGCGGCGGACGGGUGAGUAAUGCCUAGGAAUCUGCCUGGUAGUGGGGGAUAACGCUCGGAAACGGACGCUAAUACCGCAUACGUCCUACGGGAGAAAGCAGGGGACCUUCGGGCCUUGCGCUAUCAGAUGAGCCUAGGUCGGAUUAGCUAGUUGGUGAGGUAAUGGCUCACCAAGGCGACGAUCCGUAACUGGUCUGAGAGGAUGAUCAGUCACACUGGAACUGAGACACGGUCCAGACUCCUACGGGAGGCAGCAGUGGGGAAUAUUGGACAAUGGGCGAAAGCCUGAUCCAGCCAUGCCGCGUGUGUGAAGAAGGUCUUCGGAUUGUAAAGCACUUUAAGUUGGGAGGAAGGGCAUUAACCUAAUACGUUAGUGUUUGACGUAC
rnacentral:rRNA from 1 species